rnacentral:other from 2 species
CGUUCCCUCGGAUAUUCGCCAGCUAAAUGUGUUCUUGAGCCGAUAUCUUUAUCAUUGGAGGCUACUCAAUCGUUGUUGUUGUGCAUGUCCGAGAAUCGGAAAGCCUGAUUCGACAUGGGUGCCACCACCUGAACCUUUUGGUUCAGGGCAAGUUUAGCAGCGGUGUCUUGGGGAAUCU